rnacentral:rRNA from 1 species
CCUACGGGUGGCAGCAGUGAGGAAUAUUGGUCAAUGGGCGCGAGCCUGAACCAGCCAAGUAGCGUGAAGGAUGACUGCCCUACGGGUUGUAAACUUCUUUUAUACAGGAAUAAAGUGCGGCACGUGUGCCUUUUUGUAUGUACUUUAUGAAUAAGGACCGGCUAAAUCCGUGCCAGCAGCCGCGGUAAUACGGAGGAUCCGAGCGUUAUCCGGAUUUAUUGGGUUUAAAGGGAGCGUAGAUGGGUUGUUAAGUCAGAUGUGAAAGUUUGCGGCUCAACCGUGAAAUUGCAGUUGAUACUGGCAGGCUUGAGUGCAGUUGAGGUAGGCGGAAUUCGUGGUGUAGCGGUGAAAUGCUUAGAUAUCACGAAGAACUCCGAUUGCGAAGGCAGCAUACUAAACUGCCACUGACAUUGAUGCUCGAAGGUGUGGGUAUCAAACAGGAUUAGAUACCCUUGUAGUC